ensembl:snRNA U6 U6 spliceosomal RNA
GUGCUCACUUUGGUGGCACAUACAAUAAAAUUGGAAAGAUACAGAGAUUAGCAUGACCCCCUGCACAAAGAUGACACACGCAUUCAUGAAACUGUCCAUAAAAAA